GAUGGCUCUUGUUUGGGGUCUGCAGAGGGCUAGCUGCCGUGCAAAAGAAGGGUCUUUUUUUUUUAUCUUUAUAUUUUUAUUUAUUUUUUUCUCAGUUUUACCUGACAUUUUUAUUGGCACGUUUUAGAUAUACAUAAUAAUAGCAUUCAUCAUAAGGAAUUUGUACCUGUAUCUGGUAUAUCUUGCUUCUUUUUUUUUUUCCAUUCCCCUCCCCUCCCUUGAACACCUCUUCCCCUCUUGUUUUUUUUUUUUUUUUUUUUUUUUUUUUCCAGUACCAGGAAUUGAACUCAUGACCUUGCGCUUGCCAGACAGACGCUUUGCCACUGAACUAAAUCCCCAGCCCCCCUCUUGUUUGUUUUUGAGACAAGAUCUUGCUAUGUAGUUCAGGCUUUCCUUGACUUGCGAUGUACCCCAGGCUAGUUUAAAACUUGCAGUGAUUCUCCUGCCUCAGUCUCUCAAGUGUUGGAUUUCAGGUGUGUGCCAUGUGCUACCAUGCCUAGCUAGGAGGGGUCUUUUAGGAGCCAGAAUCUGCAGCCUGUUGAUAGAAUAAACUGUCAUAUGAAGGGAGAAGUGCUUCCAGUGGCAUUGGCAAUCCUGGGCCUCACAGCAGCAAGGACACCACAAAGCCUAUGGGGAGGAGGGAGGCUGAGCAUCCUGUCCUCUUCCUGGCAAAGCCACCCAUCCCUGUUCCCUGCAGCUUCACCCCCCCACUUCCACCCUGUUUCAUUAGGAGGCGCUCCUUCCUUCCUCCACACAGGCUCCUGACUCUGCCCCUUGAUUCUGGGGACAGCUCUGGUCCCAAGUAAACCUCCCCAAGGAAGAUGUUCAGAGAGACGCCCACCGGGGAUGAGCCCAGAUGUGGUCAUUUCAUCACAGAAAACCUCAGCUCGUGGCAGACCAUCUGGCCCAGUGACUUGCCGCCUGUCCCUGAGACAGCAGACUCAGGUGUGCCGUGUUGCUGCAAUGGCUGUGGAGAGAGUUCGCGUGGAUCUGGAGUCUUUGUGAACCCAACAUUUCCCAGUGAGUUUUCACUGUAGUUUCACUUGUGCCCCAGGAUCCUUGCUCUGCCCGGGGUUCCUCAUUUUACCCACUGAUUUAUCCAGAAAUUCAUGUCACUGCUGGCUGUCCCCUGAGCAGGUACUUAGCGCCUUUGGUAAACGGUGACUGCAUGUGCUGGGUGUGGGGCUGAGGCACUCUCCAGAUACGAAAGCUUUUGUCUCACACAGAAAGUAUUUUGUAAACUUGAUGACUGCCCUUGCUUUGACUUUCUUGCUUUCUUUUUUCUUUUUGUGUUUUGUUUUAAUUUUUGACAUAUUUAAUCAUGAAAUAAGACACACAUUCAGAAGUACAUAAAACUCAAAUGCGCCCUGUAACAGAAUCAUUAUAAAGCCAAGCGGAUGCAGAUAAGGGGGAAGAUGGAAAAGAAGUAGAUCUGUGAGAGGUUGCUGCAGGGGCUGCCAGAGUCACAAAGCCUUCUGGGAAAGGGACGCUGGAGGAAGGAGGCCCUCAGGUAAAACAAUCUGCCCAAGGGGACAGGGAAGGCCUGCUGUGGCCUUUGGGUGCCCUGUGGCACAGACCAGAAUCCAA
ensembl:lincRNA